rfam:Schistosoma mattheei strain Denwood, Zambia genome assembly, scaffold: SMTD_scaffold0001589
AUCUAUCUGACGAGUCUCAAAUAGGACGAAACGCUCAUCCUGUAU